rnacentral:rRNA from 1 species
UACGGAGGUGGCAAGCGUUGUUCGGAUUUAUUGGGUGUAAAGGGCAUGUAGGUGUUCUUGUAAGUUCUGGCUGAAAUCCUUCGGCUCAACCGGAGAACGUGUCAGAAUACUGCAAGAAUUGAGUGCGGGAGAGGAGAAUGGAAUUCCCGGUGUAAGAGUGAAAUCUGUAGAUAUCGGGAGGAACACCAGUGGCGAAAGCGAUUCUCUGGUCCGCAACUGACACUGAAAUGCGAAAGCUAGGGGAGCAAACAGGAUUAGAUACCCGCGUA